AACUAUGCGUGUGCCUUUGGCGAUUUCUUUUCCUUCUUUAGACUUUUCUCUUUCUCCUUUCUGAAGAAGGACUAUGCUCGAAAUGUCAAACUCUCUCUUUUCACCCAGCGUCAAGCUAAUGCAUCU